GUGCUUGCUGCGGCAGCGCGUACACUAAAAUUGGAACGCUACAGAGAAGAUUAGCACGGCCUCUGCGCAAGGACGACAAAAAAAAAAAGAGUUCAGACUCAACCUU